rnacentral:rRNA from 1 species
CAAUAGCGUAUAUUAAAGUUGUUGCAGUUAAAAAGCUCGUAGUUGGAUUUGUGGUGUACUUCGGCGGCCCGUCACUAUGUGAUGGAGCUUGCUGAAGUCGCCAUCCUUGGGUGGAUCCUGUGUGGCAUUAAGUUGUCGUGCAGGGGAUGCCCGUCGUUUACUGUGAAAAAAUUAGAGUGUUCAAAGCAGGCUUAUGCCGUUGAAUAUAUUAGCAUGGAAUAAUAAGAUAGGACCUUGGUACUAUUUUGUUGGUUUGCGCACCAAGGUAAUGAUUAAUAGGGACAGUUGGGGGUAUUCGUAUUUCAUUGUCAGAGGUGAAAUUCUUGGAUUUUUGAAAGACGAACUACUGCGAAAGCAUUUACCAAGGAUGUUUUCAUUAA